AUUCCAUGAUGAGGACAUUGUCUCAAUAUGUCUUUAAACCUUUCCCAAGCAUCAAUUAAAGAUUCAUAUUCCCCUUUCCUGAAAUAAGUAAUUUCUUUCCUCAUUUU